GUCUAUGUCCAUGACACCCUGAAUGUGCCUGAUCUCUUCUGAUCUCAGAAGCUAAGCAGGGUCGGGCCUGGUUAGUACUUGGAUGGGAAUAUCACGUGCUGCAGGCA
rnacentral:rRNA from 1 species